AACGGGGAAUCAGGGUUCGAUUCCGGAGAGGGAGCCCCGAGAAACGGCUACCACUUCCAAGGAAGGCAGCAGGCGCGCAACUUACCCUAAUCUCGAUUCGAGGAGGUAGUGACAAGAAAUACCGAUUGCGGGGACCCCUACGGGUGCCGCGUUCGGAAUGAGUACGAUUCGAACCACCUAACGAGGAACGAUCGGAGGGCAAGUCUGGUGCCAGCAGCCGCGGUAAUUCCAGCUCCAAUAGCGUACGUUAAAGUUGCUGCAGUUAAAAAGCUCGUAGUUGAACGUUCGGGUUCCGCGGGACGGGGCCGCCCCGCGAGGGACGGCGCCGCCCCGGGGCUCGUGAUAUCUUAUCUCGCCGCCCGUCGCGAGGCGGACGGAGGGAUGGAUGAGGUUACCUGGAAAAAUCGGGGCC
rnacentral:rRNA from 1 species